rnacentral:lncRNA from 1 species
UAAUAAUAUACAAUAAUGUACAAUAAAGUUCAGGAGCCUAUUUUAAAAUAGUCUAUAUAUAUAGGGGACUACUGUACUCUUAUGAAUAUAGAACUCUUUGUACUCACAAAUCGUUUGAUAAAUAGAUGUGCGGUUAGAAUGAUAACAGUUCUCUAAAGUUGAGUGGAUAGCUGAUUAAAUAGUAUGAUUUUGUAGAUAAAAAUGAUCAAAAUAAUAAAUUUAAUGGUAAAAAAUUUAUAAUAUAAAGGAAUAUAUAUUUAUAAAAUAUAAUAGCUGAGCUCUCUCUCUCUCUCUCUCUCUAUAUAUAUAUAUAUAACUUCAAGGGCCUCGUAGAUCUUUUUUUUUUCAUUUGAAGUUUACACUGUUGAACUUUUUUUUUUGGUGGUUGAUACCAAACCUUUAUUUCUUUUAUAUAAUUGUGAUUACUUCAGCCAAUUAAAUUUGGAUUUUAUUUAGUUAAUCAGUGAUCCUGUCGAAUUUAGCGCUGUUAACAAUUUAUUAGCUGUAAAACAUUAUAAAUCUUAUUAGAAAUUACAAGGGGUUUAAUUUAUUGGAAGAAAUUAAAAUUAAAGAAAUAAGAGUGAAAAGAAAGUUUUACACUCAUAGAAAACAAAAAUGAAGUACUCAGACCUCAAAAAUCAUUUUCACUCAAUACAAAAGCUU